GGAGGGGAUACUUACACAUGGGGUAACAUACAGGUAUCUGAUUGCCUACACGACCCCAGGGAAGGUCUGAGAGAGGGGCAUUUACAUCCGAGAGGGGUGCCCCUGGAAACAGGGGGUGGUAUAACAGAAAACUUUGGACCUUACACGGUGCUUUCUUUCGGGCAGAGGACGCUGUGUUGUAAAACGCACAGUGGAUGCUCAACGUGCCGGUGUAUUGGUUGGAAUAUAUCACGCUAGCAACCUUGAGUACAAUGUGUGAGGCUGCCAAGGCAGUAACUCAAUUCAGACUACACUUCCCUCC
rnacentral:RNase_P_RNA from 1 species